AGAGUUUGAUCAUGGCUCAGGACGAACGCUGGCGGCGUGCUUAACACAUGCAAGUCGAACGGAAAGGCCCUGCUUUUGUGGGGUGCUCGAGUGGCGAACGGGUGAGUAACACGUGAGUAACCUGCCCUUGACUUUGGGAUAACUUCAGGAAACUGGGGCUAAUACCGGAUAGGAGCUCCUGCUGCAUGGUGGGGGUUGGAAAGUUUCGGCGGUUGGGGAUGGACUCGCGGCUUAUCAGCUUGUUGGUGGGGUAGUGGCUUACCAAGGCUUUGACGGGUAGCCGGCCUGAGAGGGUGACCGGCCACAUUGGGACUGAGAUACGGCCCAGACUCCUACGGGAGGCAGCAGUGGGGAAUAUUGCACAAUGGGCGGAAGCCUGAUGCAGCAACGCCGCGUGCGGGAUGACGGCCUUCGGGUUGUAAACCGCUUUCGCCUGUGACGAAGCGUGAGUGACGGUAAUGGGUAAAGAAGCACCGGCUAACUACGUGCCAGCAGCCGCGGUGAUACGUAGGGUGCGAGCGUUGUCCGGAUUUAUUGGGCGUAAAGGGCUCGUAGGUGGUUGAUCGCGUCGGAAGUGUAAUCUUGGGGCUUAACCCUGAGCGUGCUUUCGAUACGGGUUGACUUGAGGAAGGUAGGGGAGAAUGGAAUUCCUGGU
rnacentral:rRNA from 1 species